ensembl:ncRNA M01E10.4 ncRNA
AGCCGUCAAUUUUUAUCACUUUUUACAUCAAAAUUCAGUUUCAAAGCGCAAAAUUACCCCAAAAAACCUUUUUUGCAGAAGAUUUCGAUAAUUGGUGCAUUUUGUCGUAGGUUCGCGGUGUUUGCGUACUUUCGGAGCUACAGUACCCCG